UACGUAGGGCGCAAGCGUUGUCCGGAAUCAUUGGGCGUAAAGAGCUCGUAGGCGGUCUGUCGCGUCCGUUGUGAAAACUCGAGGCUCAACCUCGGGCUUGCAGUGGAUACGGGCAGACUAGAGUGCGGUAGGGGAGACUGGAAUUCCUGGUGUAGCGGUGGAAUGCGCAGAUAUCAGGAGGAACACCGAUGGCGAAGGCAGGUCUCUGGGCAUUAACUGACGCUGAGGAGCGAAAGCAUGGGGAGCGAACAGG
rnacentral:rRNA from 1 species